CUUCCAACAGGAACGUGGUGGAAGUCUCUUAAAUCAUGACUCUGCUUCUCUCCCUCAUCUCAUGUCACACUCACGUCUCUCCUGGCACCUAACAUGCCCUCCCACGUGAGAAAAAUGAGGUCAAAGGAUGGGAGCCAUGCCUAACUCAACUGCUCCCCACAGUGCUGAUCCCUCCCAGAUCAGACAGGAAGAACUACCGGACUGAGCACACGUGGUCCAGACAGUAGCUCCGGACCGGCUGGCCUGGGCUAGUGUUUUCGCUCUACUUGGGAGCUUGCAAUCCUUCCGCAACCGUUAAGAAUUUUUACAGAUAAAGCAGACUUUCCACUUGAAAGAAUCAAGUGCAGACAGACUAUGGUUACUCCGACGCACGUAUGUGGCAGACACGUUCUCAGAGAAGAACGAAGUGAGCCUGUCUCUUCAGGAAA